CCAUCCAUCCAUUUUCUACCGCUUAUUCCCUUUCGGGGUCGCGGGGGGCGCUCUCGUUGAGAAAUGUUGUUCUUAGACUGUUUGACAAUUUGCUCAUGCAUUUGUUCAUAAAGUGGUGACCCUCACCCCAUCCUGGUUUGUGAAUGACUGAGCAUUUCAUGGAAGCUGCUUUUAUACCCAAUCAUGGCACCCCCCUGUUCCCAAUUAGCCUGCUCACCUGUGGGAUGUUCAAAAUAAGUGUUUGAUGAGCAUUCCUUAACUUUCUCAGACUUUUUUGCCACUUGUGCCAACUUUUUUUAAACAUGUUGCAGGCAUCAAAUUCCAAAUGAGUUAAUAUUUGGAUAAAAUAACGUUCGAACGUUAAGUAUCUUGUCUUUGCAGUCUGUUCAACUGAAUAUAAGUUGAAAAGGAUUUGCAAAUCAUUGUAUUCUGUUUUUAUUUAAGAUUUACACAACCUGCCAACUUAACUGGUUUUGAGUUUUGUAGUUUUAAGGUGACUAAAGGGUAGGAUUUCAUGUCUGGAGGUCUCUUGUAAUAUGGAAAAACACAUUUAGAAGGCCGUAAACAGGGUUGCUAUGCUCUAGCAAUGAAAAGGUUUGAUUAAUAAUCAAUAAUUCCUACUUACCAGAAAUUAAUUUAUCGCUGUCAUGUCUGGAAUCAUCAGCGAUAAAUGUAUUGGUCUUUCUUGAACUAUUCAGAAAAAAAGAUAUAAAAAUAACAAAAAACUUGUUGAAAAAUAAACAAGUGAUUCAAUUAUGUAUAAAUAUUUCUCCACAUAGAAGUAAUCAUCAACUUAAAGUGCCCUCUUUGGGGAUUGUAAUAGAGAUCCAUCUGGAUUCAUCAACUUACUUCUAAACAUUUCUUCACAAAAAAAGAAAUCUUUAACAUCAAUAUUUAUGGAACAUGUCCACAUAAAAAUCUGUCUGUCAACACUGAAUAUUGCAGUGUUGUAUUUCUUUUCACACUUUAUGAACUUACAUUCAUAUUUUGUUGAAGUAUUAUUCAAUAAAUAUAUUUAUAAAGGA